rnacentral:rRNA from 1 species
GGCCAGACUCCUACGGGAGGCAGCAGUGAGGAAUAUUGGUCAAUGGGCUUACGCCUGAACCAGCCAAGUCGCGUGAGGGAAGACUGCCCUAUGGGUUGUAAACCUCUUUUGUCAGGGAGCAACGCCGGCUACGUGUAGCCGGACUGAGAGUACCUGAAGAAAAAGCAUCGGCUAACUCCGUGCCAGCAGCCGCGGUAAUACGGAGGAUGCGAGCGUUAUCCGGAUUUAUUGGGUUUAAAGGGUGCGUAGGCGGAAGGUUAAGUCAGCGGUAAAAUGUCGGUGCUCAACACCGGCCUGCCGUUGAAACUGGUCUUCUUGAGUGAGCGAGAAGUAUGCGGAAUGCGUGGUGUAGCGGUGAAAUGCAUAGAUAUCACGCAGAACUCCGAUUGCGAAGGCAGCAUACCGGCGCUCAACUGACGCUGAGGCACGAAAGCGUGGGGAUCGAACAGGAUUAGAUACCCCUGUA